UAGUACGGCGAGUGAAGAGGGAAGAGCCCAAGAUUGAAAGCUGGCGUCUUCGGCGUCCGCAUUGUAAUCUCAAGAAGUGUUUUCCGCUUCGGACCAUGCCUAAGUCCCUUGGAAAAGGGCAUCAUAGAGGGUGAUAACCCCGUACAUGGCAUGGAGCGCCCGAAGCUUUGUGAUACGCUUUCUAAGAGUCGAGUUGUUUGGGAAUGCAGCUCAAAAUGGGUGGUAAAUGCCAUCUAAGGCUAAAUAUUGGGGAGAGACCGAUAGCGAACAAGUACAGUGAUGGAAAGAUGAAAAGAACUUUGAAAAGAGAGUUAAACAGUACGUGAAAUUGCCAAAAGGGAAGGGUAGGAGGUCAGAGAUGCGGCCUGGGAUUCAGCCUUGCUUUUGCUUGGUGUUUUUCCCAGAUUGCGGGCCAACGUCGGUUUUGGGCACUGGAGAAGGGUAGGAGGAACGUGGCACCUCUCGGGGUGUGUUAUAGCCUCCUACUGGAUACAGCGACCGAGACCGAGGACAGCAGCGUACUCGCAAGAGCGGGCCUUCGGGCACCUUUACGCUUAGGGCGUUGGCAUAAUGGCCCUCUACCACCCGUCUUGA
rnacentral:rRNA from 1 species